AAUAUGAAGGCGGGCUGGAACCUCUCGGGGUUACAGCCUUGCUGAAUUAUUCACCCUUGUCUUUUGCGUACUUCUUGUUUCCUUGGUGGGUUCGCCCACCACUAGGACAAACAUAAACCUUUUGUAAUUGCAAUCAGCGUCAGUAACAAAUUAAUAAUUACAACUUUCAACAACGGAUCUCUUGGUUCUGGCAUCGAUGAAGAACGCAGCGAAAUGCGAUAAGUAGUGUGAAUUGCAGAAUUCAGUGAAUCAUCGAAUCUUUGAACGCACAUUGCGCCCUUUGGUAUUCCAAAGGGCAUGCCUGUUCGAGCGUCAUUUGUACCCUCAAGCUUUGCUUGGUGUUGGGCGUCUUGUCUCUAGCUUUGCUGGAGACUCGCCUUAAAGUAAUUGGCAGCCGGCCUACUGGUUUCGGAGCGCAGCACAAGUCGCACUCUCUAUCAGCAAAGGUCUAGCAUCCAUUAAGCCUUUUUUUCAACUUUUGACCUCGGAUCAGGUAGGGAUACCCG
rnacentral:rRNA from 1 species